rnacentral:rRNA from 1 species
UGCGGUGCCUAUAAUGCAGUCGAGCGGACAGAUGGGAGCUUGCUCCCUGAUGUUAGCGGCGGACGGGUGAGUAACACGUGGGUAACCUGCCUGUAAGACUGGGAUAACUCCGGGAAACCGGGGCUAAUACCGGAUGCUUGUUUGAACCGCAUGGUUCAAACAUAAAAGGUGGCUUCGGCUACCACUUACAGAUGGACCCGCGGCGCAUUAGCUAGUUGGUGAGGUAACGGCUCACCAAGGCGACGAUGCGUAGCCGACCUGAGAGGGUGAUCGGCCACACUGGGACUGAGACACGGCCCAGACUCCUACGGGAGGCAGCAGUAGGGAAUCUUCCGCAAUGGACGAAAGUCUGACGGAGCAACGCCGCGUGAGUGAUGAAGGUUUUCGGAUCGUAAAGCUCUGUUGUUAGGGAAGAACAAGUGCCGUUCAAAUAGGGCGGCACCUUGACGGUACCUAACCAGAAAGCCACGGCUAACUACGUGCCAGCAGCCGCGGUAAUACGUAGGUGGCAAGCGUUGUCCGGAAUUAUUGGGCGUAAAGGGCUCGCAGGCGGUUUCUUAAGUCUGAUGUGAAAGCCCCCGGCUCAACCGGGGAGGGUCAUUGGAAACUGGGGAACUUGAGUGCAGAAGAGGAGAGUGGAAUUCCACGUGUAGCGGUGAAAUGCGUAGAGAUGUGGAGGAACACCAGUGGCGAAGGCGACUCUCUGGUCUGUAACUGACGCUGAGGAGCGAAAGCGUGGGGAGCGAACAGGAUUAGAUACCCUGGUAGUCCACGCCGUAAACGAUGAGUGCUAAGUGUUAGGGGGUUUCCGCCCCUUAGUGCUGCAGCUAACGCAUUAAGCACUCCGCCUGGGGAGUACGGUCGCAAGACUGAACUCAAAGGAUUUGACGGGGGCCCGCACAAGCCGUUGGAGCAUGUGUUUAAUUCGAAGCAACGCGAAGAACCUUACCAGGUCUUGACAUCCUCUGACAAUCCUAGAGAUAGCACGUCCCCUUCCGGGGGCAGAGUGACAGGUGUGCAUGGUUGCCUC